rnacentral:tmRNA from 1 species
GGGGGCGAAACGGCUUCGACGGGGAUAGUUGAAGCUGUAGAAGCGUGCCGAGGUUCCUACAGGCCUCGUUAAACAGGUAGGAAAACAUAAUCGCAGACAACUACGAUUACGCCGUAGCCGCGUAAAGCGGCUACCGUCCUCCUGAUUCCGCCUGCCGGAUCAGAUGAGGGCGUCGACCAGGCAGGAUAGCCGACCUUCCCGGCCUGGAGGAAGGAAGGCGAAACCUUUACAGGCUAGCGACGGAUGAAUCCCGCCUCCGGGAGUCAUUCGGAGCGAAUGUAAAUCGGGGGAUACGCACGUAGAAGCUGCAGUGGAAUAUUUCCGGACGGGGGUUCGACUCCCCCCGCCUCCACCA